rnacentral:rRNA from 1 species
ACGAACGCUGGCGGCGUGCUUCACACAUGCAAGUCGAACGGAAAGGCCCUGCUUUUGUGGGGUGCUCGAGUGGCGAACGGGUGAGUAACACGUGAGUAACCUGCCCUUGACUUUGGGAUAACUUCAGGAAACUGGGGCUAAUACCGGAUAGGAGCUCCUGCUGCAUGGUGGGGGUUGGAAAGUUUCGGCGGUUGGGGAUGGACUCGCGGCUUAUCAGCUUGUUGGUGGGGUAGUGGCUUACCAAGGCUUUGACGGGUAGCCGGCCUGAGAGGGUGACCGGCCACAUUGGGACUGAGAUACGGCCCAGACUCCUACGGGAGGCAGCAGUGGGGAAUAUUGCACAAUGGGCGGAAGCCUGAUGCAGCAACGCCGCGUGCGGGGUGACGGCCUUCGGGUUGUAAACCGCUUUCGCCUGUGACGAAGCGUGAGUGACGGUAAUGGGUAAAGAAGCACCGGCUAACUACGUG